UCACUAAUCAAGCUGGGCUUAUUGUUGGACUUCUUGUCGUUAACAGACAGGUCCCAAAGAUAAUGACGGCGUCAAUUAGACCCUAGAUGCAACGAGCUUUCAUUAGCACGCAUUUUAGCUAAGCCUAUUGACCCGAUCUUUUUUAACCAAUUUCUAA
rnacentral:misc_RNA from 1 species